rnacentral:rRNA from 1 species
AGUGAACGCUGGCGGUAGGCCUAACACAUGCAAGUCGAACGGCAGCACAGUAAGAGCUUGCUCUUACGGGUGGCGAGUGGCGGACGGGUGAGGCAUACAUCGGAAUCUACUUUUUCGUGGGGGAUAACGUAGGGAAACUUACGCUAAUACCGCAUACGACCUACGGGUGAAAGCAGGGGAUCUUCGGACCUUGCGCGAUUGAAUGAGCCGAUGUCGGAUUAGCUAGUUGGCGAGGUAAAGGCCCACCAAGGCGACGAUCCGUAGCUGGUCUGAGAGGAUGAUCAGCCACACUGGAACUGAGACACGGUCCAGACUCCUACGGGAGGCAGCAGUGGGGAAUAUUGGACAAUGGGCGCAAGCCUGAUCCAGCCAUACCGCGUGGGUGAAGAAGGCCUUCGGGUUGUAAAGCCCUGUUGUUGGGAAAGAAAAGCAGCAGGUUAAUACCCCGCUGUUCUGACGGUACCCAAAGAAUAAGCACCGGCUAACUUCGUG